rnacentral:lncRNA from 1 species
CUCUUGUUGUAAGAAGGAACUUGUGUUUCCUUGGUUGAAGUCUUGGAGUGUUGUAUCUCCGAGCAAAGGUAGUUGAGGCUUGUGUCCUCAAGUUGUGGAGGAACUUGUGUUUCCUUUGGUUGAAGUCUUGGAGUGUUGUAUCUCUGAGCAAAGGCGUUGAGGCUUGUGUCCUCAAGUUGUAAAGGUUUGUUAAGCACCCGGAAG